rnacentral:sRNA from 1 species
AAGACGCACGUUAUUGGAGGAUGGAGGACUGAGUAAGGGAGCCCAAAAUUUUGAUUGGAGGAGCAGACUCCGGAUGUGCUUGACUGAACACUGAUUGGAGAACAGAGGGGUCAGGAAGAGCAGUUCCGCACGAGGAUUGGGCGGUGGUGUGUCCCAUGGAAACGGAAUCCAGAACUGCAGCCAGGGUUUUGCACGGGGGCGGAGCCGGGUCUUCCCCAGGCGCCUGCGCCUAAGCGGUUUCCCGGCGCCAUUUUGUCCCGGCAGCAGCAGCCCGCAGCUCUAUCCCAUUUUCUGUGUCUAGAGGGAAGGAAGCGGACUCUAUCUGGUAGGUUUAGUUCAGUGUGGCACCGGCUUACCCUUCUCUCCAGGACAACGCCUAGCGAAGGGUGGAGGAGUCCCGGAGUUGUCCGAAAGAGUUGUGAAGACAACAGACAACUCCAUGACAACCCAAAGUACCACAGGGAAAUGAAAAGCUGUGGAUUCUUUCAAAGUUAAUUAAGAUUGGGUUUGACAAUGGAAGACCUCCAGAAAAUCUUGGCUGCUGAUGUGGAAAAAGAGACCCAGAAGAACAACCAAACAGGUGACUCGAACGCUGGUCCCCCUGUGUGGGAGCAGCUUGGGAGACUGGCUGAGACAUGAAGGUCCCUGUAGUAGCCAUCAAAUGUUGUUGGCUGUCAUCGAGUCCUCAUGACUUGCUACAUGUCAUCCUUACAUAACAUGAAUGGGGAUAUAAAACCCAUUGCAGUUUGAUUAUGCAGUCCAGACAGACUUAAAAGACUGACAGGUAAACUUUUACUUGCUCAAGCACAGAGCAGAGAACCAUCUUUAGCUGAUUUGUGCAUACUGCACAUUCCGUACAUGAGUUACUGCAGAAAUGUCCCUACAGUGUUACCAGAGCUGGGGCAGGAGGUAAGGGUGGAAUUUCUGAGCAGGCAAAGACAAAUACUUAAACAGAAGGAAGCAGGGGGAGGGCGGAGCUGGAAGCAGUGAGAGCCACGUGCAGACGUGAGAUAGUGGAGAAGUCAGGAGAAGUUAGCUAACUGAGACAGACUGUCCUAAAAAAAGACCAACAGCUUUAAUUUUCUACAAAAAUGUAAAUUAUCAAAAUUUAAUAAUUGGAAAGAAAGUAUUUUGAAAAGGUAGUUCAUAGAUUCCAUUGAGAAUAAUUAGCUGACCUGUUUGGUAUUUUUUAUUGAAAAAAAGUGAGAUUUUUUUUUUUAAUGCUUAUUUUCCCCUUUUAAAACAUUAUUUCGGACGAGUGGGCAUGUGCCAUAGCACAGUGAGUGGAGCUGAAGGAAAGCUGUGGGAGGGUUGGUUCUCCGUCUACCACGUAGGUCUCACGCUCAGUCUCAAGUCAUCAGCCUAACAGGGGGUACCCUUCCCUACAGUCAUCUCAUUCCUAGACUUUUUUUUUUUUUUUUUUUUUUUUAGCACAUUUAUGUGAUCAUGUUUUCUGGAUUGUUUGGACUUUUUUUGAGAUAGGGUUUCACUUUUCUGGGCUCAAUUUUUUAAUAACUUUUUACAAUUUUUUUUUUUUAAUCACAGAGUACUGAAUGUGUAUGUGUGCGCACUCCUGUGCUUGUGUGUUUGAUCCUUUUAUUCUUAAAAGCCUAGUGUAAGAAGUCUGUUUUGAUGAGUGUUCAGGGGCAAGAUAAGUAAUUUUUUACAAAUAAGUGUAUGUUCUGCAUCUUUAAGUUAAAACAUAGCUCAAAAAGUCUUUGUCUUUCAGACAUUGACUAAUAACAUUGACUUUUGUUGUGGGAAAAAAACCAAGGUGCUUCAGUUCUAGAAGACCUACGAUUUGUUACAUGUACUGAAAACUUUGGUUCUCGUAUGUAAUUUUAUGUCAUCCUUAAGCAGAUGAGAUUCAGGAUUUGUUAAGAACUAGAAUUGAUUGCUGGGUCGAAUGUAGCUGCUUCCCAGAUGAUUUGAGGUUUGUUUGUUUGUUUGUUUGUUUGUUUGUUUGUUUUGAAGGGAUUAUGUAAUUGUAAUCAAACUUUUAUUUUGGGCACCAGGGAUAUAGGUCUUGAUUGUAAGAGUGCUUUACCUGACAUAUACAAAGCUCUAGGUUCAAAAACCAGAACCAGUUUUGUUGUUACUAUUUAGAGCAUACUCUGUGGUGUAUGUGUGGCUGUCGAUAUGAUUUUUUCUUUUCCCUGUAAGAUUUUGUUGUUGGUUUUAGGACCACAUGAAUGAUGGUUUUCAUUCACAAGUAACUCAAACUAGAAGGACAGCAUAUUUCAGGAUCUGGAUUAAAGUAGGUGGAUUAUUUAAUGACAGUCCUGCAAAGAUGUAUGCCUAGGGAGCUGAGUGUGAGUAAGAUUCAUAACACGAUUGAGCAUGGAAAGUUAAUCUAAAUGCCUUAAUGGACUUGGAUAAUUGGGGUUUUGUUUUUGUUUGUUUGUUUGUUUGUUUGUUUUUGGUUUUGUGUUUUGAGACAGACAUGUAAUCCUGACUGUCUUGGAAUCCCUCUGUGGAUUAACCCAGAGAUCCUCCUGCCCCUGCCUGUCCAGUGCUGAGAUUUAAGGCAAGGACCAUCAUAAAAGGAACAUAGACCGCAGAACAGAGAGCUUGUUGUAGCUGGUUCUUAAUGCAUGUGAGUGUAUACACCAGGUCCUCAAUUGUGUUUUCAGUGCCACGUAACAAGUUAAAGAAAAAACGCAAAAGUAGGUAUAUGUUGGUGAAGGCUUUUAAGAAUAAUAAUGAUCUUAAAAGCCAUUCAAGUUCAGUGGAAGACUGACUGAGAGUGAUUGAGCAAGGCUGUUUCAGAGAGAAGACUUGUUGGGAACGGAUGCCUAGCAAAAGGUGGGAUCAGAAAAGUUGAGAGCCUGUAUUAUCAGAGCUGCUGGAACCAGCCACACACAGGCAUCCUAUGGAGCCCUCGCCCUCCGCAGAUUUUUAGAUGGCUUUGAGUCUGAGGUAUGAACAUAAAUUAAAGGUGAUUUUUACUUUUGUCGUUGACUUUUGUUUUGAGAUAAGGUUUCACUACUUAAUAUUCUUGGCUGGCUUGGAACUCACUACUGUCAACCAGGCUAGCCUCAAAUUGACAGUAAUCUACCUGCUUCUGCUCAUAAAGCUGGGGUGAAGAACAUUGGCCAUCAUACACAUCUUAAGAUAUUUUUAUUUGGCUUAUUUUCUCAGCUUUAUAAGUUAUACACAUUUUCUUAACCCUUCAUUAGCCUUUUAAUGUCUGGGUUUUUUGUUCAGUUUUGAGACAGGAUCUCUUUAUGUAGCUAGGCCUGGCAUGUGGCCUUCGUCCCUCUGUGGCCCUAGUGCUAGUAUCAUCCACUGUACCUGGAUUUUUUAUUAUUUUUUCCUUUUUUUUUUUUUUGUUUUGUUUUUGUUAAUUCUCCUACUGAUCCCCACUUCUAUUUUGAUGUAUUCUAUUGUCUGCGCCAUGUCAAGGGUUUUUCCUCUCCCAUGCAAUGAGUUUACUUGGGUUUGCAUGUGGGCACGCUUCCAGUGACUAUUCAUUUCCUCUAUCAGGCAUUAACCAUCUAAGUAUUGUUAGAAUGAAGCCCAUAAGACCCUUCCUAACAGGAAGUUGACAGACCCUAUCUUGUUCACAUCUUGAGUAGAGGAUAUCAUAGCUACUGUGGAGUUUAAGGGUCCAACAAUAGGUCAGUGUUUUAUGUCUUGGCUUCCUCUGGUUCUUACAUUCUUUCUGCCUCUUCUGCCGUGUACCUGAGCCUUGAAGUGGGUUAUAUAAAUGUCCAUUGAACUGGGCACUCAACAGUCACAUAUUCUCAGCACUUGACUUAGCAAGCCUUCCCAAAGACCUUGGAGGAAGAGCGAGGACCAACCACCAUGUGGUUAGUCUCUGCCAAAAUGCUUUCCUGUGACCUUGCUACAUUACCCAAGCAGCUCUUGCUUCCUCUACAUUCUAGCACUUUUAGAAUCCCACCCUAUAGUGUUAAAAUAACCAGUGAAAUUAUAUGUUGCCAUGUAUGGGAAAUAAACAAAAAUCAUAAAAGGUUGUAAACAGUUCAGUCAAGUCUGUGCUACCACAAAUAAAAGCUGUUUUCUUGAA